UACGUAGGGGGCAAGCGUUGUCCGGAAUCAUUGGGCGUAAAGCGCGUGUAGGCGGCUCGAUAAGUCUGCUGUGAAAGUCCAGGGCUCAACCCUGGGAUGCCGGUGGAUACUGUCGAGCUCGAGUCCGGAAGAGGCGAGUGGAAUUCCUGGUGUAGCGGUGAAAUGCGCAGAUAUCAGGAGGAACACCAAUGGCGAAGGCAGCUCGCUGGGACGUGACUGACGCUGAGACGCGAAAGCGUGGGGAGCAAACAGG
rnacentral:rRNA from 3 species